rnacentral:rRNA from 1 species
GUUGUAUGGUUAAGUGACUAAGCGUACACGGUGGAUGCCUGGGCAGUCAGAGGCGAUGAAGGACGUACUAACUUGCGAUAAGCGCAGAUAAGGCAGUAAGAGCCGUUUGAGUCUGCGAUUUCCGAAUGGGGAAACCCAACUGCAUAAGCAGUUACUGUUAACUGAAUACAUAGGUUAACAGAGCAAACCGGGGGAACUGAAACAUCUAAGUACCCCGAGGAGAAGAAAUCAACCGAGAUUCCGGUAGUAGCGGCGAGCGAACCUGGAUUAGCCCUUAAGCACUCGGUGAAGUAGGUGAACAAGCUGGAAAGCUUGGCGAUACAGGGUGAUAGCCCCGUAACCGACGCUUCAUCGAGCGUGAAAUCGAGUAGGGCGGGACACGUGAUAUCCUGUCUGAAUAUGGGGGGACCAUCCUCCAAGGCUAAAUACUCCUGACUGACCGAUAGUGAACCAGUACCGUGAGGGAAAGGCGAAAAGAACCCCUGUGAGGGGAGUGAAAUAGAACCUGAAACCGUGUACGUACAAGCAGUAGGAGCACCUUCGUGGUGUGACUGCGUACCUUUUGUAUAAUGGGUCAGCGACUUAUAUUCAGUGGCAAGGUUAACCGUAUAGGGGAGCCGUAGCGAAAGCGAGUCUUAACUGGGCGUUCAGUCUCUGGAUAUAGACCCGAAACCGGGUGAUCUAGCCAUGGGCAGGUUGAAGGUUGAGUAACAUCAACUGGAGGACCGAACCGACUAAUGUUGAAAAAUUAGCGGAUGACUUGUGGCUAGGGGUGAAAGGCCAAUCAAACUCGGAGAUAGCUGGUUCUCCCCGAAAGCUAUUUAGGUAGCGCCUCGGACGAAUACUACUGGGGGUAGAGCACUGUUAAGGCUAGGGGGUCAUCCCGACUUACCAACCCUUUGCAAACUCCGAAUACCAGUAAGUACUAUCCGGGAGACACACGGCGGGUGCUAACGUCCGUCGUGGAGAGGGAAACAACCCAGACCGCCAGCUAAGGUCCCAAAGUAUUGCUAAGUGGGAAACGAUGUGGGAAGGCUCAGACAGCUAGGAUGUUGGCUUAGAAGCAGCCAUCAUUUAAAGAAAGCGUAAUAGCUCACUAGUCGAGUCGGCCUGCGCGGAAGAUGUAACGGGGCUAAGCAAUACACCGAAGCUGCGGCAAUAUCUUUUAGAUAUUGGGUAGGGGAGCGUUCUGUAAGCCGUUGAAGGUGAAUCGUAAGGUUUGCUGGAGGUAUCAGAAGUGCGAAUGCUGACAUGAGUAACGACAAAGGGGGUGAAAAACCUCCUCGCCGGAAGACCAAGGGUUCCUGUCCAACGUUAAUCGGGGCAGGGUGAGUCGACCCCUAAGGUGAGGCCGAAAGGCGUAAUCGAUGGGAAACGGGUUAAUAUUCCCGUACUUCUGACUAUUGCGAUGGGGGGACGGAGAAGGCUAGGUGGGCCAGGCGACGGUUGUCCUGGUUCAAGUGCGUAGGCUUGAGAGUUAGGUAAAUCCGGCUCUCUCUAAGGCUGAGACACGACGUCGAGCUAGCUACGGUAGUGAAGUCAUUGAUGCCAUGCUUCCAGGAAAAGCCUCUAAGCUUCAGAUAGUCAGGAAUCGUACCCCAAACCGACACAGGUGGUCGGGUAGAGAAUACCAAGGCGCUUGAGAGAACUCGGGUGAAGGAACUAGGCAAAAUGGUACCGUAACUUCGGGAGAAGGUACGCUCUUGAUGGUGAAGUCCCUCGCGGAUGGAGCUGACGAGAGUCGCAGAUACCAGGUGGCUGCAACUGUUUAUUAAAAACACAGCACUGUGCAAAAUCGCAAGAUGACGUAUACGGUGUGACGCCUGCCCGGUGCCGGAAGGUUAAUUGAUGGGGUUAGCGCAAGCGAAGCUCUUGAUCGAAGCCCCGGUAAACGGCGGCCGUAACUAUAACGGUCCUAAGGUAGCGAAAUUCCUUGUCGGGUAAGUUCCGACCUGCACGAAUGGCGUAAUGAUGGCCACGCUGUCUCCACCCGAGACUCAGUGAAAUUGAAAUCGCUGUGAAGAUGCAGUGUACCCGCGGCUAGACGGAAAGACCCCGUGAACCUUUACUACAGCUUGGCACUGAACAUUGAACCUACAUGUGUAGGAUAGGUGGGAGGCUAUGAAGACGUGACGCCAGUUGCGUUGGAGCCGUCCUUGAAAUACCACCCUUGUAUGUUUGAUGUUCUAACUUAGACCCAUUAUCUGGGUUGAGGACAGUGCCUGGUGGGUAGUUUGACUGGGGCGGUCUCCUCCCAAAGAGUAACGGAGGAGCACGAAGGUGGGCUAAUCACGGUUGGACAUCGUGAGGUUAGUGCAAUGGCAUAAGCCCGCUUAACUGCGAGAAUGACGGUUCGAGCAGGUGCGAAAGCAGGUCAUAGUGAUCCGGUGGUUCUGUAUGGAAGGGCCAUCGCUCAACGGAUAAAAGGUACUCCGGGGAUAACAGGCUGAUACCGCCCAAGAGUUCAUAUCGACGGCGGUGUUUGGCACCUCGAUGUCGGCUCAUCACAUCCUGGGGCUGAAGUCGGUCCCAAGGGUAUGGCUGUUCGCCAUUUAAAGUGGUACGCGAGCUGGGUUUAGAACGUCGUGAGACAGUUCGGUCCCUAUCUGCCGUGGGCGUUGGAAGAUUGAAGGGGGCUGCUCCUAGUACGAGAGGACCGGAGUGGACGAACCUCUGGUGUUCGGGUUGUGUCGCCAGACGCAUUGCCCGGUAGCUAAGUUCGGAAUUGAUAAGCGCUGAAAGCAUCUAAGCGCGAAGCGAGCCCUGAGAUGAGUCUUCCCUGAUACUUUAAGUAUCCUAAAGGGUUGUUCGAGACUAGAACGUUGAUAGGCAGGGUGUGUAAGCGUUGUGAGGCGUUGAGCUAACCUGUACUAAUUGCCCGUGAGGCUUAACCAUACAACACCCAAGGGGUUUUGUA